UACGGAGGAUCCAAGCGUUAUCCGGAUUCACUGGGUUUAAAGGGUGCGUAGGUGGGCAGGUAAGUCAGUGGUGAAAUCUCCGGGCUUAACCCGGAAACUGCCGUUGAUACUAUUUGUCUUGAAUAUUGUGGAGGUAAGCGGAAUAUGUCAUGUAGCGGUGAAAUGCUUAGAUAUGACAUAGAACACCAAUUGCGAAGGCAGCUUACUGCACAAUGAUUGACACUGAGGCACGAAAGCGUGGGGAGCAAACAGG
rnacentral:rRNA from 1 species